rnacentral:SRP_RNA from 11 species
CCACCUCGUGAACUCCGUCAGGACCGG